UGGCUUUGCCAACCGGGGUUGUAGGACGUCUCACACGGAGUUACAAAGGUGACGGAUAGAUGAAGUGGUUCUGGAAAGACCCGCCAAAGAAGGUAACAGCCCUGUAAUCGAAAUCGGUCACCCUCCGAGACGGAUCCUGAGUACCGCGGGACACGUGAAACCCCGUGGGAAGCAGGGAGGACCACCUCCCAAGGCUAAAUACUCCCUGGCGACCGAUAGUGAACCAGUACCGUGAGGGAAAGGUGAAAAGCACCCCGGGAGGGGAGUGAAAGAGAACCUGAAACCGUGUGCUUACAAUCAGUCGGAGUCCUUUUAAAGGGAUGACGGCGUGCCUUUUGUAGAAUGAACCGGCGAGUGACGGUUACGUGCGAGGUUAAGGUGAGAAGCCGGAGCCGCAGCGAAAGCGAGUCUGAACAGGGCGAAUGAGUACGUGGCCGUCGACCCGAAACCGGGUGAUCUACCCAUGUCCAGGGUGAAGUUCCGGUAACACGGAAUGGAGGCCCGAACCUGUUGGUGUUGAAAAACCAUAGGAUGAGGUGUGGGUAGGGGUGAAAUGCCAAUCGAAC
rnacentral:rRNA from 1 species